ACCCCCUGCAAUGAGCAGAGGGACACCUUGUAGAUGGUGGUGUUCUUAAACCAGUCAGGGGCAGAGCAGAUGACGGUCCUUUGCUCAUCCUAGCUCGAUGGUUGGCUUGGUGGCCAAAGCUGUUUUAUGCCUGGGACUCAUAA